rnacentral:tRNA from 1 species
GGUGAAGAUGGGGCUGGCGGAGCCCCACCCGGCUGUAGACCGGGCGUCCUCGUGGUUCAGGGGGUUCGACUCCCUCCUUCACCACC